UACGGAGGGGGCUAGCGUUGUUCGGAAUUACUGGGCGUAAAGCGCACGUAGGCGGCUUUGCAAGUUAGAGGUGAAAGCCCAGGGCUCAACCCUGGAAUUGCCUUUAAAACUGCAUCGCUAGAAUUGUGGAGAGGUAAGUGGAAUUCCGAGUGUAGAGGUGAAAUUCGUAGAUAUCCGGAAGAACACCAGUGGCGAAGGCGACUUACUGGACACAUAUUGACGCUGAGGUGCGAAAGCGUGGGGAGCAAACAGG
rnacentral:rRNA from 1 species